UCUGCUGCGAAGCCCUGUUGAAAUCAUUUUCGAUCAUCCACCAUCAAACACCUCGAAGGAGAAGCCAUUGCAGGCACUAGAAGAUAGAUCAGACCAGUCAUGGCGCAGAAGAGAAACGAACAGUCAAACAAAAUUGGAUCGACCUAAAAAUUGGUUCGAAUGUUCCUGACCCUUAUAUCUAGCUAUAGCCCAAAGCCGUUUAUUAUUUGGAGCUACGGUUUGAAAGUCAUGAGUGUUUUCCCGAGUCAUACCUGUGCAGAUCCGAUCCGCGAGCAGCCAAAUUGCGAUGCGUUUUGCCGGCGAUCUAGGAAGUUCCAGAGGACGAUCUACAUACCGGCGUGAAGAUCUUUAACCCAUCUUUCCAUAUCAGUCUUCAGAUAUCUAUUCCGAGCUGUGACCAGAAAGUUAUGACCAUUUUUCUGCCACAUAUCAAAUCUAUCCGAAUGUGAACUGAGUUUGCUAAUCUUCUUCAAAUGGCAAAGGUGAGAUCAAAGAGUAGUACUUGUGGCAGUUGUUGUGGUGUUAUGUUCGGGAGUCAAAGGCGCAUUUUCUGUUAAAUGAGUGUACGAGCAAAUGGAAGGAGUGAAGAGGAGAAAAUGGAAGGAGUGAAGAGGAGAAAAUGGAAGGAGUGAAGAGGAGAAAGAAUAAAACAGAGAAAUUUAGAGAGGAGAGAGCCACUGGAGAAGAACAAAGUUGAAACAAGUGGAGAAGAGAGUGGUAUGUUUUUAAAUGUUGAGAGGAAUGGGUAUGUACUUCGAGUCUUCUCAAAGCGACAAAUCAAAUAUCUUUAACUUAGGCAUUUUUCGAUACAAUUGUGGUUAAAUAAUGUG